rnacentral:rRNA from 1 species
UACAACGGGAUACCCGAGGGAAACUUCGGUUAAUACGGUAUAAGACCACACUACCGCAUGGUAGAGGGGUAAAAGGGGCAACCUGGUAUGAGAUGGACUCGCGUCGCAUUAGCUAGUUGGUGAGGUAACGGCCCACCAAGGCGACGAUGCGUAGCCGACCUGAGAGGGUGAUCGGCCACAUUGGGACUGAGAUACGGCCCAGACUCCUACGGGAGGCAGCAGUGGGGAAUAUUGGGCAAUGGAGGAAACUCUGACCCAGCAAUGCCGCGUGAACGAAGAAGGUCUUCGGAUUGUAAAGUUCUUUAGUCAGGGAAGAAGUCAAUGACGGUACCUGAAGAAUAAGCUCCGGCUAACUACGUGCCAGCAGCCGCGGUAAUACGUAGGGAGCAAGCGUUGUUCGGAAUGACUGGGCGUAAAGGGUGCGUAGGCGGUUGUACAAGUUAGAAGUGAAAUACCCAGGGCUUAACUCGGGUGCUGCUUCUAAAACUGUAUGACUUGAGUGCAGUAGAGGUUAGUGGAAUUCCUAGUGUAGCGGUGGAAUGCGUAGAUAUUAGGAGGAACACCAGAGGCGAAGGCGGCUAACUGGACUGCAACUGACGCUGAGGCACGAAAGUGUGGGGAGCAAACAGGAUUAGAUACCCUGGUAGUCCACACUGUAAACGAUGGAUACUGGAUGUAGGAGGUAUCGACUCCUUCUGCGUCGCAGU